rnacentral:rRNA from 1 species
AGCAGCCGCGGUAAUUCCAGCUCCAAUAGCGUAUAUUAAAGUUGUUGCAGUUAAAAAGCUCGUAGUUGAAUUUCGGGAUCAAUAUGUUGGUCGUGCCUCGGUACGUACUGGCAUUAUUGGUUUCUACCUUCUGAAGAACCUCGAUGUCAUUAAUUUGGUGUCUUGGGGAAUCAGGACUGUUACUUUGAAAAAUUAGAGUGUUUAAAGCAGGCUCACGCUUGAAUACAUUAGCAUGGAAUAAUGAAAUAGGACAUUUGAUUCUAUUUUGUUGGUUUCUAGGAUUGACGUAAUGAUUAAUAGGGAUAGUUGGGGGCAUUAGUAUUCAAUUGUCAGAGGUGAAAUUCUUGGAUUUAUUGAAGACUGACUACUGCGAAAGCAUUUGCCAAGGAUGUUUUCAUUAAUCAAGAACGAAAAUUAGGGGAUCGAAGACGAUCAGAUACCGUCGUAGUCUUAACCAUAAACUAUGCCGACUAGGGAUCGGAUGAUGUUAAUUUUUAAUGUACUCA